CUACGGGACGCUGCAGUGGGGAAUAUUGGACAAUGGGGGCAACCCUGAUCCAGCCAUGCCGCGUGAGUGAUGAAGGCCUUCGGGUUGUAAAGCUCUUUUGGCGGGGACGAUGAUGACGGUACCCGCAGAAUAAGCCCCGGCUAACUUCGUGCCAGCAGCCGCGGUAAGACGAAGGGGGCUAGCGUUGUUCGGAAUUACUGGGCGUAAAGCGAGUGUAGGUGGUUGUCAUAGUCAGGUGUGAAAGCCUUGAGCUCAACUCAAGAAAUGCACUUGAUACUGGGCGACUAGAGGACCGGAGAGGAUAGUGGAAUUCCCAGUGUAGUGGUGAAAUACGUAGAGAUUGGGAAGAACACCAGUGGCGAAGGCGGCUAUCUGGACGGUUUCUGACACUAAGACUCGAAAGCGUGGGGAGCAAACAGGAUUAGAUACCCUAGUAGUC
rnacentral:rRNA from 1 species